GGUUUUAUGUGACAGAUUGUCCUGCUUAGCUUAGUGAAACUUGAUAUUUCAGACUGAACUAAGGUGUUUACUCCAGAAAGCAUGUUUUACAUAAAACCAGUUUUUUGUUUGUUGUUGUCAUGUUCUGUGUUUGCAGUACCUGAACCAAAACCUAAGAUGUACUUGAUUGAAACUAAGGAUAACGAAGAUAGUACUGCUGUUGUCGGGUCGGACUACUAUGCAGAGAACUAUAAGACCUUGAUCCCUCCUGAUAUUUUAUCUAAAAUCAAGGAUAAUGAUCCGUAUAAAUAUACCUGGCCUCCAUACACCCCUCCUCCUGAUUGUGAGAACUCAGGGUGUCCUCUUUACCCAAACUAAACCAUCAGCCCUGUUUCCUUGACAAUGGAAAAUAUUAGAUUAUUUUUUUAAUCAAAAUAAAAAAUAAAAUCAUAUAAAUCAAUAAAUAAUGUAAUGUUUA